rnacentral:rRNA from 1 species
GACAGAGGGUGCAAACGUUGUUCGGAAUUACUGGGCGUAAAGGGCGCGUAGGCGGCCUUCUAAGUCAGACGUGAAAUCCCCGGGCUCAACCCGGGAACUGCGUCCGAUACUGGAAGGCUUGAAUCCGGGAGAGGGAUGUGGGAUUCCAGGUGUAGCGGUGAAAUGCGUAGAUAUCUGGAGGAACACCGGUGGCGAAGGCGACAUCCUGGACCGGUAUUGACGCUGAGGCGCGAAAGCCAGGGGAGCAAACGGG